AUCGUCGCCGCCUCCUAACCCACUCUCACUUCUCCCGGCGGCGACAAUGGCGACGAGGAAGAUCUGGAAUGACACAGAAGUGAAAGUAACAGCGACGUGUAUACGUGUUCCGCCAAUGCGUGCUCAUGCAGAGAGUGUGAAUCUCCAGUUUGAGAAUCCUCUCGAUGAGAACACAGCAAGGGAGCUGUUGAAGAAAGCACCUGGAGUUUAUAUUAUAGACGACCG